GUGCUUACUUCAACAGCACAUAUUUUCAAAUUGAAACAACAGAGAGAUUAGCAUGGCCCCCAUGCAAGGACGAUAUGCAAAUUAAUGAAGCCUUCAUAUUUUUA